rnacentral:tRNA from 1 species
UCCCUGACAGUCCAGUGGUGAGGACUCAGCAUUUUCACGGCUGGGGCCCAUGUUCAAUCCCUGGCCAGGGAA